GCUGACGUGGUUGGCAGUUUCAUCUUCAGAUUUGACAAAGUUGUCAGAAAAGACAAUCAUUUCAAAUUCUUCAUCAACCCAUUUCAGUCUCUCUGCCUUGCAUUUAUAAAAGGAAGCAAAGUACAACAUCAUCAACAAAAUUAUCUCAUAAUUUCAUUCCUACAAGUAGCUAAACCAGCAGCGGAUAUUGCUCAUCAUCAAAUUCCACAGGAUGAUGAAGCAACAGAGCAGAAUUUCAGCAGUCUAUCAACUAGUUGUAUGAGCAACAUAUUUUUGAAAUCCGGAGCCCAACAAAAAUUUCAAAAUGGUAUAUGAAAUUCUUUUUUAACCGAAACGGCAAAAUCGCUCACGAGGUAGCGAUUUUGUCCGACGAAAAAAAGCAAAAUUGCUGCUAUAUGAAAUUUUUGUUAACAUUUUUCGCCUUUAGGCUCCGGACUCCA